rnacentral:lncRNA from 1 species
CAUCCAAUGAUGCUGAAAGUAUUUUGUUGCAAAGAUCUAAUAUUUGCCUUCUUCUGACCCAAUAGGAGAAUCAUAGCACAGACACCCAGGGUUCUGGAAGAAGUCCUUAAUCUCACCUGCAAACAAUUGCCACCUUUGGAAAACCAGCUUCUGGCUGACAACUGGGCUCUGGAAGAAGCUGAUCGCCUGACUAUGAAACACUAAUGGGAACUGCCCAGCAUGAACUGAAAAUUAUCCAAUCCAUUGAACCGUAAAGUUGGAGAUGCAAGUCAGCAUUCCAUUAUAAAAUUUAAGGAGUUUAUUCUUUAUUCUUUAUAAAUAUUUAAAGCUGUAAAUUUCACUGCUUUAGCUGCACCUUGCAAAUUUUAAAUUUUGUUAUCAUUCUAAUUUCCUUUAUGAUUGCUUUGGCCAAUGAUUAUUUGGAAGUAUGUUGCUUAAUUUCCAAAUAUUUGAGUUUUCUAGAUAUCUUAUGAUUAUUGGUAUCUAAUUUAAUUCCACUGUAGUCAGAGAAUUUAUUCCAUAUGAUUUAAAUCCUUUUAACUUUAUUGAAACUUGUUUUAUGGCCUAGCAUAUGGUCCAUUAGUGAACAUAGCACAUGUACUUGGGGGAAAAGAAGCGUAUCCUGCAAUUGUUUGGCAUGAGGUUCUAUAAAUGUCAAUUAGGUCAAUAUGAUUGACAGUAGUUCAUAUCAUUUAUGUCUUGAUUAUUUUUUUUCUAAUAUUCCAUUGAUUGCUAAGAAGGGUGUUAAAAUCUCCAACUAUAAUUGUAGAAUUGUCUACCUCUUUUUAAAAUUUUAUCCAUUUUUGCUCGACAUAUUUUGAAGCUCUAUUACUAGGAAAAUAUACAUUUAUAAUUGUUAUGUUUUCCAGGUGAAUGGACCUUUGUAUCAUUACAAAAUAUCCAUAUUUAUCUCUGAUAAUAAUCUUUAUAUUGACAUGUACUUUAUCUGAUAUUAUAACCACUCCAGACUUUGUAAGCUUACUGUUUGCACAGUAGACCUUUUUCCUCCAUUUUUCCCCAACUUACUUGUAUGUUUAUACUCAAAGUAGUUAUUUGAGUUUGCCUCUUUUUGUUCAUUUGAACCAUCUCUGUCACUUAAGCCCAUAGGGGUUGGUUGAGGGAUAAGCAGGAAAGGAGAACAUUGUGGUCCUGGUCUCGUUUGUACCCUUUCUACUUGAUGACAAAUUGCUAUAAGACACUAGAGACUUUGUGCCAGAUCAAAUAGUUUUCAGGUUAUGACAGACAGGUUAAGUUUCAAGAUCAUGUGGUAAUCCCCUGGACAUUUAGUCUAUGUGAGGGCCCAGGAGCAAGAUGAAGUUGUUUCUCAAAAGGAGUUCAGCAAUUUGCUAAAGAUGACAUGGCUUUCUUCACAUAUUCUAGUGACUUCUUCUGCAGUCUUCCUAUACUUCCCCCACACACAUUAGGAAUUGAACCCAGGGACGCUUUACCACUGAGCUACAACCCCAGUCCUUUUUAUUUAUUUAUUUAUUUAUUUAUUUUAUUUUGAGACAGGAUCUCCCUGAGUUCCUGAAGACCUCGCUAAAUAGCUGAGACUGGCCUGGAACUUGUGAUCCUCCUGUCUCAGGCUCCCAAGUCUCUGUGCCAUCACACCCAGCUCCCUUGGGUUUGCUAUAUGUUCCAUCAGAAUAGUGACCUAAACAUGAUUAGAGUGUGGGUCAUGGAAAUCAGCUGGCAUAUCUGCUUACAUAGCAGCCUAGACCACUUGAGGACUUUUUUCUUAGAUUUCCUCUCAAAACUGCAGCCAUUCAGGUAACUGAAAUUAUCUUUCAGGUAAAUGGGCAGGUAUAAGACACCCAAAUAUGGGGUGUGUUGCCUCAGAAUUCCAAGAAGGCAGCCAAAUACUAUAUUUCAACUAAUCUAAGAUGUCUUCAGUUGUAAAGUACACUACUGAUAUUCCACUGUGAAUAAUUUUUUUAAAUGCUGUCAAUAAAACCAUGAUAUGCCAUUGAUCAUGGGAUACACUGGCAUAUUAAAACUGGGGGGAUGAUGACAACCUUAUAAAUGCACUAAAUGCCACUGAAUUUUUCACUUUAAAAUGGUUAAUUUUACAUUGUGUUGAUUUCAUCUCAAUAAAUAACUUAUGUCCUUUAGAAUCAA